rnacentral:snRNA from 1 species
GGAUGUGAAGGUAAUCUGGCUGUGACAUCUGUCACACCAUUGAUCUCCAGGGUUAAUUCAGCUGAUCUGGCUGGCUAGGUGGGUGUCCCCUUCCUCCUCACCACUCCACGUGUUUCCCUUUCAAAACUGUGUGCUUGGUCAAAGAGGACAACCAUCCCCGAUAGAGGAGGACCAUUCUUCAGUCAAGGGUAUAGGAGUAGCUGUGUUCCCCUGCUUGAACCUCCAAACAAGCUCUCAAAAUACAGUGUAUAUAUAAAUACACACACAUACACAUACACACACACACACACAAUAGAGUAGUAUUUAGU